rnacentral:rRNA from 1 species
GCAGUAUUUUGACUGUACAAAGGUAGCAUAAUCAUUUGUCUUUUAAUUGAAGGCUAGUAUGAAUGGUUGGACGAAAAAUAUACUUUCUUUAUUUUAUAUAAAUAAAUUAAUUUUUUAGUUAAAAAGCUAAGAUUUUUUUAUAGGACGAGAAGACCCUAUAGAACUUUAUUUUCUACAUAUAUAUAUUUUAUAGAUUUUUAAAAUAUUAUAUACUAAUAGUUAAUUUAAUUGGGGUGAUUGAAAAAAUUAUAUAACUUUUUCUAUUUCUAUCAUUUAUUUAUGAUGUUUUUGAUCCUUUAAUAUGGAAAAUAAGAUUAAGUUACCUUAGGGAUAACAGCGUUAUUUUUUUGGAGANUUCUUAUCGAUAAAAAAGUUUGCGACCUCGAUGUUGGAUAA